AUUGAACGCUGGCGGCAGGCCUAACACAUGCAAGUCGAGCGGCUCGGCGGACGGGUGAGUAAUGCUUAUGAAUCUGCCUGUUCGUGGGGGAUAACGUCCGGUAACGGGCGCUAAUACCGCAUACUAUCAGAUUAGCCUAGGUCGGAUUAGCUAGUUGGUGGGGUAAAGGCCUACCAAGGCGACGAUCCGUAACUGGUAUGAGAGGAUGAUCAGUCACACUGGAACUGAGACACGGUCCAGACUCCUACGGGAGGCAGCAGUGGGGAAUAGUGGACAAUGGGCGAAAGCCUGAUCCAGCCAUGCCGCGUGUGUGAAGAAGGUCUUCGGAUUGUAAAGCACUUUAAGUUGGGAGGCGUUACCAACAGAAUAAGCACCGGCUAACUUCGUGCCAGCAGCCGCGGUAAUUC
rnacentral:rRNA from 1 species